AGGCCUGAGGGAAGGAGACCAUCCUCAGACUCUGGCCUGACUCCGACCUCCCAGUUUCACGACGACCUUCCCCUCAUUCUGCCUCACCAGCUGCUGACCCUGGGCUGCUGCCACAACAGCUUCCUCCUGUGCACAUUGGUCACUAGGGAUCUGUCCCCAGAGCACUGUCCUCCUUCCCUCACACAGAACACAUCCUGAGACAGAUUAGUGUUCAAAAACAGCACCCCUGCAGUUUAUUUCACCCACACCAAUUGAGGGGUGAGGCUCUGUAACUGAGGGGUGGUCCUGUCCCAGGUCACUCUGCAUAAGCUGGUGGGGUCAGCUCCCUACAUCUUCUUGGUUACCCGUGGCCCCUGAUAUGGAGGUGGGAGUUCUGGGGCCCAGCCAGGAUAGUGUGUCUUUGAAUAUCCUUUGUUUCCUGGCCAGGUGAGUGGAGAGAGGUCAAGGCCACUAUCAUAUUUCAAAACCUCCUGGCCUGAGCAAAUGGCCUGGCUAUAGCAGGAUCACCAAGGUCAGAGAGGGUCAAGAUACAAACUGCUCCCACAAUGUCCUACCCAUUUGGUGACCCUGAUUCUUGCCCAGGGCGUGGACCCUUUCACUCAAUCAAACCCUCCUGCUUGGUCCUGAUUCUUUAGACCCUUUUCUGGGUCCCUUCGGCAAUGUUCCCCUGGGUCUGCAUCUCAGAGGGGCCUUCACCUCUUACCCUGGGCUGAAGUGGCUUCUUAAGGCCUUUCCUCAGCUCCCCUCUCCUGGGCCCUCUUGUACACAGACCUGAUGGACAGAGGAAGGUUUCACAUUCUCCUUGGAAAUGGGGUACCCUCCUCAUCCCCUAUCUGACCUCAGUCCUCUCUCUGCACCCUCAUGAAUAAGCCUGACCUUCCCUAGGGCUGGUGUCCAGCAUGGCCUCAGAGACCCCCGCACCCCAGCAUCACCACAUGGUGAGUGCCCCCCUCAGCCGGUGGGUGGCUGGGCCCCCUAGGCCUGUCCCACAGUGUCACUCUUGCAGUCAAACACCUCUCCAGGACAGGGAUCUUUCCCUGGUGCUUCAAGGAACCCUGUCAUCAAACACUCAAGACAGCGGACCCUUCUGGCCAGUUCAGCCCAGACCUGUGGCAUCUGGUCACCUUCUCAGGUUCCUUGGCUCCCUGGGACUCUAAAAGGGCUACAGGGUCUCUCUCAGGACAAGUUGACUGCCCUGUCACUCUGUCAGCUGAGGACUCCCAGCUGAGAGGCUCCUGUUCCCAGGCCCCUCCCUCCCCUGCUCACCACCCACUGAUCCUGUUUUGGCUGCUGCUUUGAACAGGGGAGGGAGGGGACUGGGAACAGGAGCCUCUCAGUUCUAAAGGCAGGGGCCCAGCCCUCCUCACACCCUCCUGCUAACUCUUGUCUCUGCCCCCAGGCCAAGGUCCCUCUGACAGCUCCACCUCCCUGUCCCCUGUCCCUGGCCACAGGUCUGCGGUUCCCAUCUACCAGGAAUUACGAAACCCUAACGUGGACAUCUAUUGUCGUAUUGACCACAAAGCUCACGUGGCUUCAUAGUUGCCACCAGACAAUGCUCCAUAUGGGCUGAGGGAGGGUUCCACCUGGACCCUGGGAGAUGGAGCAGAGGUGGAACCUGAGCCCUGGGAGACUCUUACACAUGGUAUGUGUGUGUGUGUGUGGGGGGGGUCCCUGGGUUCCUGGAGACCUAGAAAGGCUGCCCUGGGCUCUGAAUGGCCAGAACCAGGCUGCCUGUGCCCAGGAGCAGGGGCUUCAGGGAGAGGGAAGGGCCCUGUGGGUCACCUGGAAAGGCGCUGAAUAAAGACCCCCUUCCCUCCUUC